UGUGUAGGCGGUUGUUUAAGUUUGGUGUGAAAUCUCCCGGCUCAACUGGGAGGGUGCGCCGAAUACUGAAUGACUCGAGUGCGGGAGAGGAAAGUGGAAUUCCUGGUGUAGCGGUGAAAUGCGUAGAUAUCAGGAGGAACACCGGUGGUGUAGACGGCUUUCUGGACCGUAACUGACGCUGAAACACGAAAGCGUGGGUAGCAAACA
rnacentral:rRNA from 1 species